GCUUGAAGAUCACUCUGCUCCUGCACUUCUUUCUGCUGAUGACACUGUGUCAUGUGGUGGGGUCCCUUCCCCAGGAGCCGCUCUCACUGGUGGCAUCACCUCAGAUGGCGCUCAAGAUCCAGGAGGCCCAGUGUCUGCAGCAACAGUGACACCAGCUUCUGUCCCACUUGUGGCAGCAUGCAGAGGUCUGGUGUCAGCUGACCUCUCAGAAAGACACACAGCUCAAGUUCUGUUUCAUACAACAGCUCAUGGUGCAGCUGCUGUGUGAGGAGAAUCAGGCAAGAGGAGACCCAGGUAAUGGAGCUGUCCAGGUUCCUGCAUGGAGGACUCGGCUACCUCCAUGCCUUCUCCAUGUUCUCAUCCUACCCACCACAGCGUCUGGAAGCCACCAAGCAGCAGAAGCAGCAGUCAUCCCCGCUGAGCCUCCUCGUUCUGCGUUGGCAAGGACACAUCAGCGUCAGGGUGGAGAGUGUCUGGUACUUCUCUUGUGGGGUUGACCAGAGAUCAUUCUGGCAGCUCCCAAUAGAAGAUGAAGGGGACAAAGAGGACAGGCAUGUUCAACAUGGACCAGUGUGACCAUUCCUGGGACAGACUAGAUGCCAGGGCAACAUUAUUAAUGAAGAUUUCACCAGUGCCCAGGAAGCACUCACUUGACAGCAUCAGCAGCUGAGGGAACAGAAGCAGCCAUGCCAGUGCCUGGCUUGCCUGGCAACCCUGACCCAGGGUGAGCCUGAGGAGGUGCUGGCUCCAGCAGAGAGGAUGACUGCCUGUCUGGGCAAAGCCACCAGGCUCGAAAGCAGGCCAUGGCAAAGCUGACAGGGAUGACUACAGAGUCCAGGAUGAAAGCUGGUGUCCUAGAGGGGCUUAAGGAGACCCUGAAUGGACUCCAUAAAUUCCAUCACAAGGAUCGGGGACAAAUCAAGAACAGAGAGAUUUGAGAGACAAUUCUCCUUCACCAAGAUGUUUGUGAACAUCUGCAUAUUUCCAAUCACAUGUCAACAUCUCCCAUUCUAUAAAGCUUUUGAACCUCCCUAUAAGCAAUAUUGUUCUGUCAGGUAAUUUGCAGCUACAAACCUAGGUAGCGGCAUUAAAAAAUGUUAGCUUGCAUAGUCUGAUUUUACAUUGAAGAAAUGUAGAUCAUUGGAUCAUUCAAGGCUCGCCAUGGCUUGACCUCACUUGGGAUUUUUUUGUUGUUCUUCUUCUUUUUUUAGUACUUUCCUUUUUAUGACAAGAUAAUGUUUGUGUGCAUACCGUAGUCCAAAUGACAGAAAACUAUACCCAGGGUCAAAGUCUCCCUGAUUCCCAUUUUCCCAGGCCCAUAGUUGUUGCUUUUACUUUCAUAUUUUACUAUUAUUAGCUCUCAAUAGUUUCCCUAUAGUUUUACAUUUAAUUUAUCAAUGUGAACAACUGUUUUGCUGACUUUCAUAAAAGUUUUAUUUCUCAUCGCACAUUAUCCUUUUCCUCUUCCCACUUUGUGAAAUGUGCUCUGUGUUAAUUUAAAUUUAGCAAUAUUCAUAAAAGCAUAGGGGAGACUGAUUAGACAACAGUAUGGGACUAUGGAAGAGAAGAAAAUAAAAGGGAGGUUAAUUGUUGGGUUAGAUAUCAUCAAAA